UACGGAGGGGGCUAGCGUUGUUCGGAAUUACUGGGCGUAAAGCGCACGUAGGCGGCUUUGCAAGUUAGAGGUGAAAGCCCAGGGCUCAACCCUGGAAUUGCCUUUAAAACUGCAUCGCUAGAAUUGUGGAGAGGUAAGUGGAAUUCCGAGUGUAGAGGUGAAAUUCGUAGAUAUUCGGAAGAACACCAGUGGCGAAGGCGGUUUCCUGGAGCUAACUUGACGCUGAGACGCGAAAGCUGGGGGAGCAAACGGG
rnacentral:rRNA from 1 species